rnacentral:rRNA from 1 species
GUGCCAGCAGCCGCGGUAAUACGGAGGGUGCAAGCGUUGUCCGGAAUCACUGGGCGUAAAGGGUGCGCAGGCGGGGCAGCAAGUCGGAGGUGAAAGCCCGUGGCUCAACCACGGAAGUGCCUUCGAAACUGUUGCACUUGAGUCCCGGAGAGGUUGCCGGAAUUCGUGGUGUAGCGGUGAAAUGCGUAGAUAUCACGAGGAACACCAGAGGCGAAAGCGGGCAGCUGGACGGGUACUGACGCUCAGGCACGAAAGCGGGGCGAGCAAACAGGAUUAGAAAGCCGAGUAGUCG